UAGAGUUUGAUCAUGGCUCAGGAUGAACGCUGGCGGCGUGCCUAAUACAUGCAAGUCGAACGAAGAUCUAGCUUGCUAGAUCUUAGUGGCGAACGGGUGAGUAAUACAUAAAUUAUCUGCCCAUUGGACUGGGAUAACUAUUGGAAACGAUAGCUAAUACCGGAUAGGUGAUUUGAAGGCAUCUUCGAAUCAUUAAAGUAGGGUCACUACACCAAUGGAUGAGUUUAUGGCGCAUUAGUUAGUUGGCGGGGUAACGGCCCACCAAGACGAUGAUGCGUAGCCGACCUGAGAGGGUGACCGGCCACACUGGGACUGAGACACGGCCCAGACUCCUACGGGAGGCAGCAGUAGGGAAUUUUCGGCAAUGGGCGCAAGCCUGACCGAGCAACGCCGCCUGAGUGAUUAAGGCCUUCCGGUUGUAAAGCUCUGUUGUUAGGGAAGAACAUUCCGAUAUGUAAUGU
rnacentral:rRNA from 1 species